CUUUUGUUUGUCCCUCACUGCACCACUCAGCCUCCUCCGCCCCGGAAGUGACGUCAGCGACGGGCGCGAACGCGGCACCCUGGGCGUCGCCAUGUUUGUAAAGGGAGUUGUAAAGGCCUUUCUUGCCUCCCUUCAGUGCGCCUGCGCCAGGGUGCGUAAUGCGUGGGUGUCGCUGGUGCGCUGAGUGGCUGGAAACCGAAACGCGCUCGGACCCGGCAGCAGCCCGCCCCAUCCUCCGUGCACCCACAUCCCCUUCCCAAGAUCCUGCUGCUGGAGAAGAUGCAGCCCGGGACAGCAGGGAAUUCCGGGCACAGAUGGAGCUGGAAUCAAGUGUCUGGACGCCAGCUCUGCAUCUUCAUGGAGCCUCCUGCGACCCUACACUUUUUUACACUGACAAAAGUAAUGGCAGUCGAGGAGGAAAAUAUCCAUACGUUGGAAAACCGUGCAGCCGUUAAAACAAAAAAUGUUCAAUGCGCACCAAUACGGACGACUUCCGAGAUACCUUAGGUGGAAAGAAACGCAAAAAGAACAGCCUUGCGAUGCUACUGCUAGUGAGCGGGGUAUACACGGUGUGGGCUGACGCACUAGCUGUCUGAUAAGAUGCACAAGCAGAAGUCAGUGGAGACCUGGCACCCGCGUGGCAUGCUGCCGUUUGAGUACUAGGUUGGAGGUGCAUGCAGUUGUAUCGGCGAGUGUGUGCACCAGGACCAGCUAUCUGAUGAUGGGCACAAGUUGCUAAUUGGCUGGGCCACAAGGUGAACACCAGCCAGUCGUGGCUGGUACAUGGGACAAGUGGCACAGACAGGGCACACACUUGGGAAGGACAUCAAGAAGCUAACGGUGAUGGCCAGAGUCCCGCUAAAGCUCAAGACUCUCCCCUUUGCAGUCUUGAGACUGCACCCAGCCCACUCCCUGGGUUUGCAUGUGCUCCCACCUUUACAAUGAAUAGCCAUGACUACACUAGCAAACACAGCCCCUCCCUCUGAGUCACACACAGUCCUUUCAUAUGGUUCAGUCCCAUUUUACAUAACUGUAAGUGAAGCAUGUGAGUGGUUAAAGGAACCCUUCUAGUCUCAGGCUUUAGGCGCGGCUGAGGCCAAGGGGCUGCUGAAGAACAGGACUUGCUUGCAGCUCCCAUCCUGGGAGUCCAGCAGGGGCAGCAAAUGAGCCAGUAAUUGGCCUCCCUGUUGACAGCCUGGGGACAGAGAGGAGAGGACGCAGCCCCAGCAGGGGAGAGUCAGGGAAAGGCUCUCCCAGAAGGUGACUUUAAGGGGAGAUGGGAAGAGGGAGAGAGGUAGAAGAAGAGGUCGAGGUCGAGAAGAAGGGAAGAGGAUGGGAGGAGGAAGGAAGAAGAGGUCGAGGUCCGAGGUCCGUGGAAGGAGUGGAGUGGACGGCCGUGAAAGUAGUGGGCAGCGGUGGCUUUAUUUCGGGAAUGCGGGGAGAGAGACCCCCCGCUGGCCCCGGGGAGAGGAGACUGGCGCACUGGCUGCUGGAAUCUGGCGAUCUCUCUCUGACCGGCGAUCUCUCUCUCUGGCGAUCUCUCUCUCUGGCGAUCUCUCUCGGACACGUGGCGUGGGGGAAUAUAAAUAGCCUAAGCUUAGCAGUGCCCUAAGGCCAUUAGAGAUGUAUAGGUAUUUCAUUGGCGCACAGGUUUAGCGCCAGAAAGCAAGUUCCUAGGGAGGGGGUAUAGGGUUACAGUCAAGUCUAUAGGGGGCGGGGGGAGGCAGGAGUUUUCUAACCUAGCUGCAGCCUUUCCUGGUUACAGUGUCCGGUCUGGGCCAGCAACUCUUUCAUAUUUAAUCUGUAUGAAGUUGUUUUAGAACUGGGGAUCAAACUCACAAACUCAUGUUUGCCAAGCAAGUGCUUAAAACCACUGAGCCAAAUCCCUGACCCUGUGAGUGAAAAGUAAAAGAAUGCGUGUGGCAGGGCUGGGGAGUAAAGUGGGGCAACCUCAUUGGCUUAUCCCCAGCCUGGCCUGAAGAUUGCUAAGGAGUCUGGGAAACUCACAUGAUCAGGGACGCACAGCUAGAGACAGGGGAGGAAGAGAGUGUGUCUUCCUCCCCUCUACCACAGGGCUCUGGGGUGGUGCCACUGAAGCUGCCCUUCCACAAGCCCCACAUUCAACGUCCACAAACUCCCAAGGGCCAGACUCUGGCUUUUACAAUCCACGUGGGGGCGACAGAGGAUCACAGGAGACAAUUCCACGCAGCUGAGCUAAGUGUGCAGGCUAUCACUUUGAGACAGCCCCAUCCUGACUUUGGGGGGUGGAUACUGGAAAUUGAACUCAGGACCUUGUGCUUGCCAGGCAGAUGCUAUGCUGCUGAGCUAUAUCACUGGCUCUCUUGAGGUUUUUUUUUUUUAAAUGAGUUUCUCAUUCAUUUUUUGCUUGGUUUCUCCUUAUUGAGAUUUCUAAGAAUUCUUUGUGUUAUGGCUCUCACUGUAUUAAAAUGCCAGUUAACUGUCUCCUUCAUUAGGUAUAGCACUGCUUUAUGGAAAAUGUCCUAUUUACCCAUGUAUGCUUGGUAGCCAACACAGAGAAACACACACAAUUGGAGUCCAGUAAAAUAUUUGCUGAAGAAAUAAAGAAGUGUGGAGCUACUAUGCGGCAGGAA